rnacentral:rRNA from 1 species
UACAGAGGGGCAAGCGUUGUUCGGAAUUACUGGGCGUAAAGGGCGCGUAGGCGGCCUGCUAAGUCGAACGUGAAAUCCCCGGGCUCAACCCGGGAACUGCGUCCGAUACUGGCAGGCUUGAAUCCGGGAGAGGGAUGUGGAAUUCAGGUGUAGCGGUGAAAUGCGUAGAUAUCUGGAGGAACACCGGUGGCGAAGGCGGCAUCCUGGACCGGUAUUGACGCUGAGGUGCGAAAGCGUGGGGAGCAAACAGGG